rnacentral:rRNA from 1 species
GGUUAAGCGACUAAGCGUACACGGUGGAUGCCCUGGCAGUCAGAGGCGAUGAAGGACGUGCUAAUCUGCGAUAAGCGUCGGUAAGGUGAUAUGAACCGUUAUAACCGGCGAUUUCCGAAUGGGGAAACCCAGUGUGAUUCGUCACACUAUCAUUAACUGAAUCCAUAGGUUAAUGAGGCGAACCGGGGGAACUGAAACAUCUAAGUACCCCGAGGAAAAGAAAUCAACCGAGAUUCCCCCAGUAGCGGCGAGCGAACGGGGAGCAGCCCAGAGCCUGAAUCAGUGUGUGUGUUAGUGGAAGCGUCUGGAAAGGCGCGCGAUACAGGGUGACAGCCCCGUACACAAAAAUGCACAUGCUGUGAGCUCGAUGAGUAGGGCGGGACACGUGGUAUCCUGUCUGAAUAUGGGGGGACCAUCCUCCAAGGCUAAAUACUCCUGACUGACCGAUAGUGAACCAGUACCGUGAGGGAAAGGCGAAAAGAACCCCGGCGAGGGGAGUGAAAAAGAACCUGAAACCGUGUACGUACAAGCAGUGGGAGCACGCUUAGGCGUGUGACUGCGUACCUUUUGUAUAAUGGGUCAGCGACUUAUAUUCUGUAGCAAGGUUAACCGAAUAGGGGAGCCGAAGGGAAACCGAGUCUUAACUGGGCGUUAAGUUGCAGGGUAUAGACCCGAAACCCGGUGAUCUAGCCAUGGGCAGGUUGAAGGUUGGGUAACACUAACUGGAGGACCGAACCGACUAAUGUUGAAAAAUUAGCGGAUGACUUGUGGCUGGGGGUGAAAGGCCAAUCAAACCGGGAGAUAGCUGGUUCUCCCCGAAAGCUAUUUAGGUAGCGCCUCGUGAAUUCAUCUCCGGGGGUAGAGCACUGUUUCGGCAAGGGGGUCAUCCCGACUUACCAACCCGAUGCAAACUGCGAAUACCGGAGAAUGUUAUCACGGGAGACACACGGCGGGUGCUAACGUCCGUCGUGAAGAGGGAAACAACCCAGACCGCCAGCUAAGGUCCCAAAGUCAUGGUUAAGUGGGAAACGAUGUGGGAAGGCCCAGACAGCCAGGAUGUUGGCUUAGAAGCAGCCAUCAUUUAAAGAAAGCGUAAUAGCUCACUGGUCGAGUCGGCCUGCGCGGAAGAUGUAACGGGGCUAAACCAUGCACCGAAGCUGCGGCAGCGACGCUUAUGCGUUGUUGGGUAGGGGAGCGUUCUGUAAGCCUGUGAAGGUGUACUGUGAGGUAUGCUGGAGGUAUCAGAAGUGCGAAUGCUGACAUAAGUAACGAUAAAGCGGGUGAAAAGCCCGCUCGCCGGAAGACCAAGGGUUCCUGUCCAACGUUAAUCGGGGCAGGGUGAGUCGACCCCUAAGGCGAGGCCGAAAGGCGUAGUCGAUGGGAAACAGGUUAAUAUUCCUGUACUUGGUGUUACUGCGAAGGGGGGACGGAGAAGGCUAUGUUGGCCGGGCGACGGUUGUCCCGGUUUAAGCGUGUAGGCUGGUUUUCCAGGCAAAUCCGGAAAAUCAAGGCUGAGGCGUGAUGACGAGGCACUACGGUGCUGAAGCAACAAAUGCCCUGCUUCCAGGAAAAGCCUCUAAGCAUCAGGUAACAUCAAAUCGUACCCCAAACCGACACAGGUGGUCAGGUAGAGAAUACCAAGGCGCUUGAGAGAACUCGGGUGAAGGAACUAGGCAAAAUGGUGCCGUAACUUCGGGAGAAGGCACGCUGAUAUGUAGGUGAAG